AAAUCUAUUAUAAGUAAACUAUCAAAAGCACAAACUAUUGUUAAAGCAAAGAAUAGUCGGCUUGGUAUAUUGAAAAGUAUAUAUACAAUUUUAAAAGCAUAAAUACAAAGUAUUCUUUGCUGCGAUGAUUUUAACUUUCAGAUUUGUGUUUUACGUACCAAAAUAGUGAAGUUUCAGCCAAAUCUGUGAGGACAACACCUCUCCUUCAGUAUUACUAAAUACAUUUUAUUAUUUUUUUGAUGGAAUUUCAAAUUAUACUUUAUAUGUGUCAUCUGAAAUACACGCACGUGCUGAGCAAGAUAAAUAUAAUACAUUCAUUUCUGCAGAUAAACAUAAAAUAUGUUAACAAAUUAAAUGUUUAAAUGAUAGUUUUUAUUAAAAAAUAUAUAUAUAUAUUUAAAAUUAUGGUUUUAAGUAUGGUUGGUUUGUGUAUAUACUGUAUAUAAUAAGUAGUUCCUAAUUUAGUUCCAUUCUGUUUAUGUAUAUAUAUAUGUUUUGUUUACUCGCGCGAAUGUUGAUCGAAAGCGGGCUUAAAUAAUCGAUUAUAUCGACUCACCAAGCGGUGCUGCCACCGCAUCGAUCAACAAUCGCUACUUGUCGGGUGGAUUCUCGCUUCUCCUGUAACUUCGUUACAGCAAGAGGGGAUAGACUCAUUCCAACAGUCCACGAGAACGGUCGAAAUCGCACCACGAUCACAGCGCGUGUUCGGGGAUUUUGCUUGCUCCACUUUCCUACGCAUGUGCUUUUUUUCCUGCUUGCAUUCUGCCUGUUCUGAUUGCGCCUGCAUCCUGGACGUAGCCGAUCAAUCUUCCAGCUGUCCUCACGUGCCGGACACGGGAUCUCCUGCAGCGGCGGAAGGACGAGGGCGGAGCGGCAACGUGCGAUCUUGGAUAAUUUGUUCUCGCAAAAACUUCGGAUAAAGCUAUUGUCUGUGGCAGGUUCAAAUAUUCCUAUGGGGAAAGAACAGAAGGAAAAUCAUCAACUUCAAUGGGACACUAGCAUCUCAAGAAAUCAAAGAGGCAAGCAAUAUAAGUAGGACUCAUAUGUCUCAGUUGUCAUGAAAGGGUUAAUCGUAAUAUUGCAAUUUUCGUUUUUCAAGUUUAUUUUUAAAAUUAUUGUUGAAGCAUUAUUAAAAGUUUGU